rnacentral:rRNA from 1 species
CUAACAAGGAUUCCCCUAGUAACUGCGAGUGAAGCGGGAAAAGCUCAAAUUUAAAAUCUGGCAGUCUCUGGCUGUCCGAGUUGUAAUCUAGAGAAGUAAUGCCCGUGCUGGACCGUGUAUAAGUCUCCUGGGAUGGGGCGUCAUAGAGGGUGAGAAUCCCGUCUUUGACACGGACUACCAGUGCAUUGUGGUAUGCUCUCAAAGAGUCGAGUUGUUUGGGAAUGCAGCUCAAAAUGGGUGGUAAAUUCCAUCUAAAGCUAAAUAUUGGCGAGAGACCGAUAGCGAACAAGUACCGUGAGGGAAAGAUGAAAAGAACUUUGGAAAGAGAGUUAAACAGUACGUGAAAUUGCUGAAAGGGAAACGCUUGAAGUCAGUCGCGUUGGCCGGGAAUCAGCCUUGCUUUUGCUUGGUGUACUUUCUGGUUGACGGGUCAGCAUCAAUUUUGACCGCUGGAAAAGGACCUGGGGAAUGUGGCAGCUUCGGCUGUGUUAUAGCCCCUAGUCGCAUACAGUGGUUGGGAUUGAGGAACUCAGCACGCCGCAAGGCCGGGUUUCGACCACGUUCGUGCUUAGGAUGCUGGCAUAAUGGCUUUAAGCGACCCGUCUUGAAACACGGACCAAGGAGUCUAACAUGCCUGCGAGUAUUUGGGUGGAAAACCCAAGUGCGUAAUGAAAGUGAAAGUUGAGAUCCCUGUCGUGGGGAGCAUCGACGCCCGGACCAGAACUUUUGGGACGGAUCCGCGGUGGAGCAUGUAUGUUGGGACCCGAAAGAUGGUGAACUAUGCCUGAAUAGGGUGAAGCCAGAGGAAACUCUGGUGGAGGCUCGUAGCGAUUCUGACGUGCAAAUCGAUCGUCAAAUUUGGGUAUAGGGGCGAAAGGACU